rnacentral:rRNA from 1 species
UACGAAGGGGGCUAGCGUUGCUCGGAAUUACUGGGCGUAAAGCGCACGUAGGCGGCUUUCUAAGUCGGGGGUGAAAUCCUGGAGCUCAACUCCAGAACUGCCUUCGAUACUGGCGAUCUUGGAGUCCGGGAGAGGUGAGUGGAACUGCGAGUGUAGAGGUGAAAUUCGUAGAUAUUCGCAAGAACACCAGUGGCGAAGGCGGCUCACUGGCCCGGUACUGACGCUGAGGUGCGAAAGCGUGGGGAGCAAACAGG